rnacentral:rRNA from 1 species
AGAGUUUGAUCCUGGCUCAGGAUGAACGCUAGCGACAGGCCUAACACAUGCAAGUCGAGGGGCAGCGCGUUUGUAGUAAUAUAGAUGGCGGCGACCGGCGCACGGGUGCGUAACAGGUGUGCAAUCUGUCCUUAAUCGGGGAAUAGCCCGGCGAAAGCCGGAUUAAAGCUCCAUGUGUCAUGAGAGGGCAUCCUUUUAUGAUGAAACGUAAGGAUUAAGGGUGAGCACGCUUCUGAUUAGAUAGUUGGCGGGGUAACGGCCCACCAAGUCAGCGAUCAGUAGGGGUUCUGAGAGGAAGGUCCCCCACAUUGGAACUGAGACACGGUCCAAACUCCUACGGGAGGCAGCAGUGAGGAAUAUUGGUCAAUGGACGGAAGUCUGAACCAGCCAAGUAGCGUGCAGGACGACGGCCCUACGGGUUGUAAACUGCUUUUAUGCGGGGAUAAACGAGGGGACGUGUCCCCUUUUGCAGGUACCGCAUGAAUAAGGACCGGCUAAUUCCGUGCCAGCAGCCGCGGUAAUACGGAAGGUCCGGGCGUUAUCCGGAUUUAUUGGGUUUAAAGGGAGCGCAGGCCGGAGGUCAAGCGUGACGUGAAAUGUAGCCGCUCAACGGCUGAACUGCGUCGCGAACUGGCUUUCUUGAGUGAGUUCGAUGUGGGCGGAAUUCGUGGUGUAGCGGUGAAAUGCUUAGAUAUCACGAAGAACUCCGAUUGCGAAGGCAGCCCACAAGGCCUUUACUGACGCUAAAGCUCGAAGGUGCGGGUAUCGAACAGGAUUAGAUACCCUGGUAGUCCGCACGGUAAACGAUGGAUGCCCGCUGUUUGCGAUAUAGUGUGAGCGGCCAAGAGAAAUCGUUAAGCAUCCCACCUGGGGAGUACGCCGGCAACGGUGAAACUCAAAGGAAUUGACGGGGGCCCGCACAAGCGGAGGAACAUGUGGUUUAAUUCGAUGAUACGCGAGGAACCUUACCCGGGCUUGAACUGCAGCGGAAGGAAACAGAGAUGUUGACGCCCUUCGGGGCCGCUGCGGAGGUGCUGCAUGGUUGUCGUCAGCUCGUGCCGUGAGGUGUCGGCUUAAGUGCCAUAACGAGCGCAACCCCUGCCUUCAGUUGCCAUCGGGUGAAGACGGGCACUCUGGAGGGGCUGCCACCGCAAGGUGCGAGGAAGGGGGGGAUGACGUCAAAUCAGCACGGCCCUCACGUCCGGGGCGACACACGUGUUACAAUGGCCGGUACAGAGAGAAGCGAAGCGGCGGCGCCGAGCAGCCCCCAGAAAGCCGUCCCCAGUACGGAUUGGAGUCUGCAACCCGACUCCAUGAAGCUGGAUUCGCUAGUAAUCGCGCAUCAGCCAUGGCGCGGUGAAUACGUUCCCGGGCC